GAAUAUUGCGCAAUGGGGGCAACCCUGACGCAGCAACGCCGCGUGAGUGAGGAAGGUUUUCGGACCGUAAAGCCCUGUCGAGCGGGAAGAAAUGCAUAGCGGCUAAUAUCCAUUAUGCUUGACGGUACCGCUAAAGGAAGCACCGGCUAACUCCGUGCCAGCAGCCGCGGUAAUACGGGGGGUGCUAGCGUUGUUCGGAAUCAUUGGGCGUAAAGAGCGUGUAGGCGGCUGGAUAAGUCAGAUGUGAAAGCCCUGGGCUUAAGCCAGGAAGAGCAUUUGAAACUGUUGAGCUUGAGUAAGGGAGAGGAAAGUGGAAUUCCUGGUGUAGAGGUGAAAUUCGUAGAUAUCAGGAGGAACACCGAUGGCGAAGGCGACUUUCUGGCCCUAUACUGACGCUGGGACGCGAGAG
rnacentral:rRNA from 1 species